rnacentral:rRNA from 1 species
CGGGUGAGUAAUGUAUGGGGAUCUGCCUGAUGGCGGGGGAUAACUACUGGAAACGGUAGCUAAUACCGCAUAAUGUCUACGGACCAAAGCGGGGGACCUCCGGGCCUCGCGCCAUCAGAUGAACCCAUAUGGGAUUAGCUUGUAGGUAAGGUAACGGCUUACCUAGGCGACGAUCCCUAGCUGGUCUGAGAGGAUGAUCAGCCACACUGGAACUGAGACACGGUCCAG